rnacentral:rRNA from 1 species
UACGGAGGGUGCAAGCGUUGUUCGGAAUCACUGGGCGUAAAGCGCGUGUAGGCGGCCUCCUAAGUCUGGUGUGAAAGCCCGGGGCUCACCCCCGGAAGUGCAUUGGAUACUGGGAGGCUGGAGUACCGAAGAGGAGGGUGGAAUUCCUGGUGUAGCGGUGAAAUGCGUAGAUAUCAGGAGGAACACCGGUGGCGAAGGCGGCCCUCUGGUCGGAUACUGACGAUGAGACGCGAAAGCGUGGGGAGCAAACAGG